rnacentral:misc_RNA from 1 species
CGCACAUUGCGCCCUCUGGCAUUCCGGAGGGCAUGCCUGUCCGAGCGUCAUUAUCACUCCUCGAGCCCAGCUCGGCGUUGGGGCUCGUCGGUCGCGCACCGGCGGUCCCUAAAUCCAGUGGUGACCCUCCCGUGCCCCGCGUGCAGUAACCUGUUCUCGCGAGGGGGCCUCGGGCUGGGACCGCCAGUACACCCUACGCUCAGUUGACCUCGGAUCAGGUAGGACUACCCGCUGAACUUAA